rnacentral:rRNA from 1 species
UACAGAGGUCUCAAGCGUUUGUUCGGAUUCAUUGGGCGUAAAGGGUGCGUAGGCGGUCGGGUAAGUCUGAUGUGAAAUCUCAGAGCUCAACUCUGAAACUGCCAUUGAUACUAUAGGUCUUGAAUUAUCUGGAGGUGAGCGGAAUAUGUCAUGUAGCGGUGAAAUGCUUAGAUAUGACAUAGAACACCAAUUGCGAAGGCAGCUCACUACGGAUUUAUUGACACUGAGGCACGAAAGCGUGGGGAUCAAACAGG